GCUGCUUAAGAUGUUGAUUCAUGCCUCCCUAUAAUCCAACAAUCAAAAACAACUUAAGUUGUUAAACAAAUAAGACAUUCACAUUCACAUGACCUGCUUCUGAUUUUUUUUUUCACUCUGAACAAUCUGAUGAAGAUCCAGUGCUAAUUAUUCCUGAAUGCUUCCAUGUCUUCCAUGGUCCUACAGCUGCUCGCACACUUGCAGAAAUUAGAUGGUCUUAUCCUUCAAGCAGAUGUAUUCGCCACUCCAUCUGAUGUCCAGCGGUCUCUACAUUUGCCAGAGAACACAAUUUAAAAUGCUUGACGCUUUCUCGACGUCAACCCUGAAUGUGCAUCAAAAACCAAGAAAGAAAAAGUGACUUAAAAGAAGA